rnacentral:rRNA from 1 species
UACGUAGGGUGCAAGCGUUGUCCGGAAUUAUUGGGCGUAAAGGGCUCGUAGGCGGUCCGUCACGUCGGGAGUGAAAACUUGGGGCUUAACCCCAAGCCUGCUUCCGAUACGGGCGGACUAGAGUCCGGAAGAGGCGAGUGGAAUUCCCGGUGUAGCGGUGAAAUGCGCAGAUAUCGGGAGGAACACCAAUGGCGAAGGCAGCUCGCUGGGACGGUACUGACGCUGAGGCGCGAAAGCGUGGGGAGCAAACAGG